UUAAAUGGAGACGGGACAGGAGAAGCUCUUUGCUGUGAGAGCCAGUAUGUCACAUCUAGCUCAAGCAGUCACAAACUUGACCGUGCACUGGAUUCAUCCAUCGUACUUGUAAAAACACAGGAUCCUUCCUGCAAGCCGCCCCAGACCUACUGAAUUGAAUUCAUAGGAGCAGGAGGCCCUGGGUGCCAGGUGGGGGCCCCAAACACACGGCAGCCACAGACUCUGGACAAGCCAGGACACCUGUGUAGGAUAUCAGGUUCAUCCCCGGCACCCACAGCAGCUCUUUCUCAGGCCAGAACACGAAGAUGAAUAAGACAUAGUCUACGUCCUUACUCACAGUCCAGUUGGGGAAUUACACAAAUAAAGGUCUAUAUAAAGUGCU